CACGAUACGAGUCACAUUGUUGAAAAGGCUUGCACUACAUUCAAUUUCCUAUGAAGUUGAACUUGAUCACGUUAUUCGAACUCAAUAUGUUUCAUGUUGAACUGAAUCCUCAAAAUUUUGUUUGCUUGUCUUGCUAAUCUCUUGUGAUUCUGCUAUUUUUGGGCGCGAGGGAUCAGUGGAUAACACCAUCCACAACUGGACCAUUGACGAGAAUUCAAGGUGCUCAACGGAGCUUGCCGUCUCCAAAGCCUCCUCUGCUCCGUGGAGCUUCGAUGGGUACUCGCUAGUCAGGUGCUUCAAACCAGAUUUGCAGCAAGGGUCCAGAGUUGAUAGAGCUUCAAUAGAGUUGCCUGCUCAUUGCCAUCAGCUUCAGUUCUUAGCAAUGAAUCAUCGGGCCGCCUCUCUCCUUUGUUCUUGUUCAGCAGCGCAGCCAGCUCUGGCCGCCUCUCUCUUUUGUUCUUGACCAGCCAGCGUAGGACAGAAGACAGUCCUCAAUUUUUGGUUCUGUACUUCUUCAAGCCUGAGUAACUAGUUUUGCCCGGGGAUGGAAUAUUACUGCUGUCGCUUGUUAAGCUUUGCAUUGCGUCUCUGAUAUGUUCUUGUUGUGUAUCUUAUAUCUAUUGUUGGGGAUUCUGGGCUGGAUGCUGUGAAGUUGCUAUUUUUAUCAGAGUGGAAUAUAUUCCAGUCAUUAUCUUGACCUGCACAGAUUACAUUUGGAUUGGUUGGCAUGCACUCUACAUGGGCUUAUGUCUACCUUUCAUUUUUUUUAGCAUCCCUUGCUGAUUGCUGUUGCAAGCUGACUUGCUGGAAGAAGUGAAUAUGUCGACAUGACAUGACAUGACAAUGGCUUUCUUUCGUGUUAUCUGCUCUUCUCAGCUUUUGAUUUGCAGCCCUAGUCAAGUUAUAUAAGUUCUUUUGGUGUCUUCGUCUCCAAUGCUUUUUGAAUUUAUAAUUACUGCUGCUUAUGAAAUGAACAGGGAAGGCGAGGGAUAGUUCAUCAGCUGCGCCGCUGCGCUGAUGCAGCGCAGGGAGAGCGAGGGAUAGUUCAUCAGCUGCUGCUGCGCUGAUGCAACGCAGGGAGGGCGAGAGACAGUUCAUCAGCUGCGCCGCUGCGCUGAUGCAGCGCAGGAAGGGCGAGGGAUAGUUCAUCAACUGCGCCGCUGCGCUGAUGCAGCACUCCUGCUCAGCCCUAUAAGUUUUAUUAAAAUUUUGAUACGAAGAAACUUUCCGGUAUGACAAGAAGACUAAGCACUACUGCUCCGCCCGGGAAGAAGUGUCCUUUGAUUAUGAUUUUUCGAGGGAUCGAGCUUGAUUACAUUACUUGACAUCCAUUCCUUAAUAUUCGAAUUUGUAGUUUAACUAUCAAAUUUGUUGUUCCUUUUAUGGUACCUGCACUGGAAAUAUACACACAUAUACGUACAGAAUUUUGAACUCAACUUUUCUAUGAUCUUCUUCUGAUUUUGGGACCAAUAUUGCUAGACUUUACUACGAUGCGGCGGUAAUCUCGGGAGUCGGGACAGAUGCUAUAACUUUGUUAUGAUCUUAAGACUGAUUCGGUUCUAAUUUUUGCAAACUCAGUCCUUUCUAGCUGCAUUGUCAUGAUCAAUCUGUUUGGGGGUCAUUUGGAGAUUAAUUAAAUUAGUUCUGUCUGGAGUAUCUGCCUUCUUUAUUAACGAGUUUACAGCCCUGGGAAGGGCUCUCAUAUGUUACUAAUACUUUUGCUUAAGAAUUCCUACGGCGCAGGUUAAACAUAUUUUGGGAAAACAUUUGAACAAAUGUGAUACACGCUAUAUUACAACACGGGAAACCCACUAAAUAGUGAUGAUUCAGUUACAGGGCUGCAGGGCUAAAAAACACUUGGACCCUACUCGGGAGAGCAGCACAGCGCUGACUCUAUACCGCAUACCACUAGUUGAACACGAAGAAGACAUAGUUCAACCAGACUAGGGGGAGUAGCUGAUGAGGACUAGAAUACUCAUCAGCGCUGUUUAAUUGAAGACCUUAGAUAAUAAAGGGACUCGCCAGCGCAGACUACGGGAUUUGGCGGCGCAGAUUAAGGGACUCGCCAGCGCAGACUACGGGACUUGGCGGCGCAGACUACCCAGGUUACUCGGCAGCAAAGACUAGCCUGCGCAGCUCAAGGGAGCUACUCAACAUGAGCAACGAAGGACAUCGCAAAUGGAUUAAGUCAAAACUAAAGUGUAUUAAGGCAUUAAAGGGCCUAAAUCCAAUUAUUAG